CAGAGAUGCCUCUCCUUCCUGCCUCCUCUCCUCUCCUCUCCCCUCUCCUCCUCUCCAGAGAUGCCUCUCCUUCCUGCCUCCUCUCCUCUCCUGUCCCUCCUCUCCUCUCCCUCUUCUCCCUACUCUCCUCUCCCUCCUUCCCACCUCCUGGCCUCUCCUCUCCUCGAGCUACUGGCCCGGUUUCAGCAGGGGGCACUCAGGCACCCAACCCCUCAUACUCUCCUAAUGUUUCAUAAUCUGUUGCUGGAAACACGUGCCUGGGUGUCACUGAUGUCUAGGGCUGUGUCCCUCCCCUCAGACUCUCCGACCUGUGUGUCGUUUCAACUACUUCCCACAGAUGGGAGUCAAAGCGCUUUGAAUAUCUGCCGAAAUGCCCUAUCAUAGCCCUGCUUGCCAGGACCAGUUUCCAUGGGGAAAAAAAAUUGACUAGAAACAAACAAACAAAAAAAAAAAAGAAGCUGUAUACCAUCCGUCUCCUGCAGAACUAAGGUAGAAAGUCCCAAUCGCAGAAACAUCCGACCAGCCAACAGUGUGUUUGUAACCAGCUGUCAUCCAGAGCACAUACGUGCUCUACAGACAGAUGUAUGUUGUGGGUCACAAACCACAAAGGAGCAGAGUCUAUCAACCCAAAGUGCAGUGGAAGUUCCUGCAGACUCAUCCCAGAACGUUCUCCGUGCGCCCUGCAUGAGACAGAGCAUGAGCAGAGAAGGGGCAGAGAGAGAGCGAGACACAGAAUCUGAAGCAGGCUCCGGGCUCUGAACCGUCAGCACAGAGCCCGACGCGGGGCUCAAACUCACAGGGUGUGAGAUCGUGACCUGAGCUGAAGUCAGACGCUUAACUGAUUGAGCCACCCAGGUGCCCCUGCCCUCAAAGCCUUUUAAAAGUCUUGAUGACUCAAAAAUAAAAGUGAAUCUGAACUUUA